UACGAAGGGGGCUAGCGUUGUUCGGAAUUACUGGGCGUAAAGCGUACGCAGGCGGUCUGUUAAGUCGGGUGUGAAAGCCCGGGGCUCAACCCCGGAAAUGCGCCCGAAACUGGCAGGCUUGAGUGCGGGAGAGGGAAGCGGAAUUCCUGGUGUAGAGGUGAAAUUCGUAGAUAUCAGGAGGAACACCGGUGGCGAAAGCGGCUCCUGGCCCGACACUGACGCUCAUGGUACGAAAGCGUGGGGAGCAAACAGG
rnacentral:rRNA from 1 species